ACCAGACUCCUACGGGAGGCAGCAGUGGGGGAUAUUGCACAAUGGGGGGAACCCUGAUGCAGCGACGCCGCGUGGGUGAAGAAGCGCCUCGGCGCGUAAAGCCCUGUCAGCAGGGAAGAAAAUGACGGUACCUGAAGAAGAAGCCCCGGCUAACUACGUGCCAGCAGCCGCGGUAAUACGUAGGGGGCAAGCGUUAUCCGGAUUUACUGGGUGUAAAGGGGGCGCAGACGGCGAUGCAAGCCAGGAGUGAAAGCCCGGGGCCCAACCCCGGGACUGCUCUUGGAACUGCGUGGCUGGAGUGCAGGAGGGGCAGGCGGAAUUCCUGGUGGAGCGGUGAAAUGCGUAGAUAUCAGGAGGAACACCGGUGGCGAAGGCGGCCUGCUGGACUGCGACUGACGUUGAGGCCCGAAAGCGUGGGGAGCAAACAGGAUUAGAUACCCGAGUAUC
rnacentral:rRNA from 1 species